rnacentral:misc_RNA from 1 species
CUGGAAGAGGCUGAAAGAGCGGGACACGUCGACGAACGAAGGGGUGGAAAGGGCAGGGAUGCUGUGGGCAGAGAGCGGUUUCAGUCGCGCGACGGCUUUCGCCCAGGCCAGUCGAUCGAGCUCCUCUCCACAGGAAGAGCAUCUCGCGCUGCACACCAUGAGAUCAUCGGGAGAUUGCGUCGAUCCAACGGCUCGCGACUCGCGACGUACGCCAUCGAUGUGAUCGCGACCAGUGCGCAUUCGGUUGGUGUCUCCGAUUUCAGCAAUUUGAUCGAAAGUUUCUCUUCUAUCGAAAAUAUUUCAUUCGAAUGGAAAAAAGAGCAGUGGUCAAUCCAAUGUAUCCAGUUUCCGGCAGAAGUGUGAAACACCGUGUCGUGUCGUUUAAACGUGCGUCGAGCAAACAUGAUUAAAUUAAUGGUUCAGCGAUCGUGCGCCAAGAUGGACGAGUUGAUUUCGAUUGAACUGGAAAUCGUGUUGCCGUUUUAGCGACGUGAAAGCAUUCGAACAAGCUCUAUUCAUCGAGACUGGACGCGUCGUUCAAGGAGAUCGCACAACGUCGACAGGAUUCUUUUCCGGAAAUGAUCGCUUCCUCGGAGCAGUACGAGUGCAUGCAACUACGAGCCAGGCAAUGCCUAAUGCCCAGCCUGUUCUACUGAGGGCCAAAUAAAGAACGGAUAAAUCUAAGGAUAUGUUCUUGUUCGUGAGUCCGAAGAGAAUCGAACAAUUACAUAGAAUUGCCAAAGACCAACCAACGAUUAAGCUUUUCUGAAACAUAAAUUUAAUCACAUUAUUGAAAAAUGCAGAGAAAUAUAAGUUUAGCGAACAAAUAGUAUACGUUACUUUUGAUAAAUGCAAUUUGUAAUUCCAUUUUGAAAGAAGUUGACAUGUGGCCAUUCCUAUGAGAUAUGGCGGUAUUCUACACCACGGUCGUAUAUAAAAGUAUGUCAGCGUCUUAUAUUGUUCGUCCAAUCUAGAAAAGUAAAUAUAAGUAUAUUUACAAAUUUCUUAUGUUAUAAAGAAUGUUAAACAUUUUGCAUGCUUACGUAGGCUGGUAAUUAAGAGUGUAUCCCGUAUAAAAUAGUGAUCCUAUCGAUGAAACUAGCGUAACAACGCCUAUACCCACGGCAAUAUUGUAAUGCCUGAAACAGCCGAUUU